CAAUUUCACACAUUCGUUGAUUCAUGAAAUACCGUUUUAUCAUUUAUUGAACUUUAAGACCGUGAUAGGAAAUAGGGUGAGGGGUCCUUACUCGUUUCGGGGUCCGAAUACGGCUUCACAGUGCGCUUGCAGGCUGUCCCUAAUUUUCCCUGAAUUUUUUCCGGGGAACUGAAACGCACUACUGGUACCUGCACGUGUUCCAAAAAAAUCCCAAAUUAGGCCCAGGGCCCCUUUCGGCCAAUAUUGUAACUCCGGCAC
rnacentral:lncRNA from 1 species